rnacentral:rRNA from 1 species
UACGUAGGGGGCAAGCGUUGUCCGGAAUUACUGGGCGUAAAGGGCUCGUAGGCGGCCAACUAAGUCGGAUGUGAAAUCCCCAGGCUUAACCUGGGAACUGCAUCCGAUACUGGAUGGCUUGAAUCCGGGAGAGGGAUGCAGAAUUCCAGGUGUAGCGGUGAAAUGCGUAGAUAUCAGGAGGAACACCAGCGGCGAAGGCGGCUCACUGGCCCGGUACUGACGCUGAGGUGCGAAAGCGUGGGGAGCAAACAGG